rnacentral:rRNA from 1 species
AACGAACGCUGGCGGCGCGCCUAAUACAUGCAAGUCGAACGAGAAUGUGUAGCAAUACACAUGUAAAGUGGCGAACGGGUGAGGAAUACAUAGGUAACCUACCCUCGAGUGGGGAAUAACUAGCCGAAAGGUUAGCUAAUACCGCGUACGCUCCCCGGACUACGGUUCGGGGAGGAAAGCGAUACCGUGGGUAUCGCGCUCUUGGAUGGGCUUAUGUCCUAUCAGCUUGUUGGUGAGGUAAUGGCUCACCAAGGCUUCGACGGGUAGCUGGCCUGAGAGGACGAUCAGCCACACUGGCACUGCGACACGGGCCAGACUCCUACGGGAGGCAGCAGUAAGGAAUAUUGCGCAAUGGGCGACAGCCUGACGCAGCGACGCCGCGUGGGGGACGAAGGUCUUCGGAUUGUAAACCCCUUUCGGGAGGGAAGAUGGGAUGGGUAACCAUUCGGACGGUACCUCCAGAAGCAGCCACGGCUAACUUCGUGCCAGCAGCCGCGGUAAUACGAAGGUGGCAAGCGUUGUUCGGAUUUACUGGGCGUACAGGGAGCGUAGGCGGUUCAGUAAGCCCUUUGUGAAAUCUCCAGGCUUAACCUGGAACAGCCGGAGGGGACUGCUGAGCUAGAGGAUGGGAGAGGAGCGCGGAAUUCCCGGUGUAGCGGUGAAAUGCGUAGAG